GCCGGGCAUGGUGGUGCAUGCCUGUAAUCCCAGCAGCUCGGGAAGCUGAGGCAGGAGGAUCACAAGUUCAAAGCCAGCCUCAGCAAAAUCGAGGCCCUAAGCAACUCAGUGAGACCCUGUCUCUA
rnacentral:sRNA from 1 species